AGGGUACCUAACCCAACAUUUGUGCUAUAUUCCAUACUGUCAUGUUGAAAAUUCACAACCAGGAAAUAUACCUAACCCAACAUUUGUGCUAUAUUCCAUACUGUCAUGUUGAAAAUUCACAACCAGGAAAUAUACCUAACCCAACAUUUGUGCUAUAUUCCAUACUGUCAUGUUGAAAAUUCACAACCAGGAAAUAUACCUAACCCAACAUUUGUGCUAUAUUCCAUACUGUCAUGUUGAAAAUUCACAACCAGGAAAUAUACCUAACCCAACAUUUGUGCUAUAUUCCAUACUGUCAUGUUGAAAAUUCACAACCGGGAAAUAUAGUUUGCAUGGAAGUUGAAAAAAACAAAAAAAAUAUUUAUAGCAAAUGUUAAUUAUUUAACUUUUAUAUUAUCCAACACAAUUGUUUCAAAUCUUUAAUUCAAAUAACAGAUAAAACUGGUUAUAUAGAAAUAUCUCUUAACAUUAAGCAUGGAAUGUCAACAUAUUUCUUCAAUCAUAUGCUUGUUUACUUUCUUGUGUAUCAAAGACAGCACUUGCAAAUGUUAUACAAGUGUCUGGAUUUUUUCUUCCAUUUUUGGUGUUUAAGAAAAUGUUUAUAUUACGUUUAAGUUUUGUAAAGAUUUGUAUUCAAGAAAUUUACUUCAUAGUAAAAGAACUGGAUGAUAAAAUACAGGUUCUAAGUCUAGAAGGAUGAUGAGUUUAUAAUUUGUAUACAAGAAAUUUAGUAUCUAGUAAAAAAAUUGGUUGAUAAAAUACAUGUUCUAAGUCUAGAAGGAUGAUGAGUUUAUAAUUUGUAUACAAGAAAUUUAGUAUAUAGUAAAAAAAAUUGGUUGCUAAAAUACAGGUUCUAAGUCUAGAAGGAUGAUGAGUUUAUAAUUUGUAUACAAGAAAUUUAGUAUAUAGUAAAAAAAAUUGGUUGCUAAAAUACAGGUUCUGAAUCUAGUGGAUGAUGAGUUUAUAAUUUGUAUACAAGAAAUUUAGUAUAUAGUAAAAAAAAUUGGUUGCUAAAAUACAGGUUCUGAAUCUAGAGGAUGAUGAGUUUAUAAUUUGUAUACAAGAAAUUUAGUAUAU